AUUAUAAAAUUUAUUUAAUCAUUUCAUUUGACAAAGAUUAAAUAAUGAAGAAAUUGAAACGAAGCUAAAAACGAAAUAUAAAAUAUACAUUGUCACCUUUGGCACGUAGCCGAAAGGUGUGGAUUUUCCAACGACGUAACACCAUCAUUUUUAGUGUCGAAAUACUACCCUUUAAUAAUAUUUUCCCUCCUAUCUUUUCCUGUCCUCAUUUUCUUCUUAUUUACUGCUUCCAUUUAUAUGUAUAAUCUUAUUUAAAUCGCUUGGACAUUAAGAAAUUAAUUACCGAUUUCAACGAAAUGAAAAAACGACUGUUAUUUCGUCUACUAUCGAUCGAUUCAUGCUGUCAAAGUAACGCGACGCGUUCGAUUAAAAGGAAGCCGAGAUAACAACACUCGACAAGAGUUCCGCGAUCGAAACGCAAGCAUUUUAGUUUAGAUAUGCUUGCCUUUUCCGAGCCGCAACGCGACGACUCGUAUUCGAUUUACCGAAUUAUCGAUCCAUUUCUGUCGAGUAACAAUCGAAAUCUUUCAUAAACGGAACGAAAUUCAGUUAGGAACGCUAGAUAUAAUUUAGAACAACUGAUACUCUGCUUUCUUUUUCUCUUUACCAUUUAGUAGUUUACAUGGCUUCGUAAAGCCGUGUAACCGGGUUCUUAGAAAUUGUUUCCUCUUCCUCGAGAAUUUAUCGAUACUAUUUUAUCUUUUACAUCUUUUCCACUCGUGAUAAAUUAGAUUCGCUACUUUGAAACUCGAUUGAUGAAUAAUCGCGAAAUUAGAACUGAUUGAGCGAAGCUUUCUUAUGCGCGAAUCACUGUAAAUGUGUAUAUAGAGGCGAGCAAUGAAACAGCGAGGUAUGGAGUGGGAGAGGGGGGAGGGGGAAGGAGACAAAAAAGAAAGAGAGGGGGAUAGAGAGAGAAGUACGAAAAAGGUUUACUUGUAGAGCAUAGGAUCGGGUCGAAGAACACGGGGGUGGGCAGCCAGCUGAUUCGGGCGAGUUCGUGAACGACCGUAAUCGAAGCGCGAGGAAACGAAAGAGGCGAGGUAGCGCAGCAGCGCACGUCCGAUGCAGUCUGCCGCGACCACCGGGAAACCAGCUGACUGGUCGGUUCGGUCACGUUCGCUAGGUCGUUCGGCAGUCUUCGGAUCUUUGUUCGUCUCUGUGCACGAGGCUACCGGCAAGCGACAAACCUUUCCGUCAGUCGCCGUUUCGACACUGUUGAAGAAUUGUACGUACGCGCAAGUUUCUUACCUCUUCGAUAAAAACCGACAUUAUACGUAUACGUGGUUCGAAUUGCAUGAUUAAUCAUCUCAUCGUUGUGUCAAUCAACCGAUCCCACUGAUUACUCGUUGACUAAAGGAACAAUCGGGACGACGCAAUGUUGUAUUCGAAGUGAAAAAUGAUUGUGUUUUAAGCAAGAGAAAGCAAAGAAAAAGACAGAUUAGGAAGAUAAAAGAAGAACAAGAAAGGAAGAAACGAAGGAAAGAAGAGAAAAUGAUUGCAAGUGAAGCGCUAUGAAAUCCGAUCUGUACGAUAGGACAAUCCCACGUUAAAGUCGAAUCGUUAUGGAUCGAAAUUUGUUGGGUGGUAAGUGGAAAUGCUACGUGACCGGUCGGUGGUGUACGAAACUAAAUCUUCGAAAACUUUCGGUCGUGCAACCGGUUUCUCUUCGUAUUGAAAAAUAUUCUUUUUCACACAGUUCGGCUUCUCCGUCGACGAUCAUCAAUUUCGACAUCGAUAUUGGCACCGGCGUCGGCAUCGUAUCUCCAUCCUCGUCCUCUCGUCGUCGUUGCUGCCGCUGCUACUGCUGUCGCUGCCAUCGUUGAUGGGAUUUGGAAAGCCAUUCUUCCAAAUUCUUUUAGCCUAUUGAAACGUUAAUUUUUCGAAUUACG